ACCCAGGUCUUUGGGACAAAAAGAGAUAAAUUACUCUGAAUGUCAUUAUUAGAACAAAAUAGCUAACCAGGCAGAGAUAGGAUGUUUCAAGUAUUAUGCAAUAUUUAUAAGAUACAAGUGGAUAUUUUUAUUGCCACGUGCAUGUUCUUAAAAAACUCAGAUUUAUCCAACAUAAUAGAUCAUCAUUCGUUGAACUGUCUCAAGGACUGAAUUAUGCAUGUUAUACUAAUGUCAUCUUUGUGAUCUAUUUUCUUAUGUUUUUAUGUCUGGUGUUCAGAGAAACAACAUAUGACAUGUAGAAUUUGAGGAUAUUAUUGGAUAUAGCAAGCUCUGAAGAAGAAUCAGCUAUUGACAAAGCUCAACACAUUACCGUUAUCACAGAAACCACUGAUUUUCUACUGGAAAGAUGGAAGAAAAAAGCAAAUGGAAGUUCCUUGCUUGCUGAUUGUUUCAGAGAAAUCUUGCUCCUUUUCCAGUCCUUGGAAAGUGCUCUACGUCUGUGCACURUGUCAGCCUGCAAGGAAUUCCUGUUUGUCAUGUUUAAUUCCUUCCUGAGCCUGGACUUGGGGGGCAUAUAGAAGAUAACUCUCRCUUGGAAUGAUUCAGGAUUUUCAACUUGCCAUUACACUGCGACUACAUCAGUGUUUCUGAAAUCUGGGAAG
rnacentral:lncRNA from 1 species